rnacentral:rRNA from 1 species
UACGUAGGGUGCAAGCGUUAAUCGGAAUUACUGGGCGUAAAGCGUGCGCAGGCGGUUCGCUAAGACAGAUGUGAAAUCCCCGGGCUUAACCUGGGAACUGCAUUUGUGACUGGCGGGCUAGAGUAUGGCAGAGGGGGGUAGAAUUCCACGUGUAGCAGUGAAAUGCGUAGAUAUUGGGAGGAACACCAGUGGCGCAAGCGGCUAUCUGGACUGACAUUGACGCUGAGGCACGAAAGCGUGGGGAUCAAACAGG